GAGGGGGGUGGGGCUUCCUAAAGACUCCAGGGAAUUUCACAAGGAAAAGGCAGAGAAGGGCCUCUCAGGGAGGUGAGGUCACAGGAGUGAGGGCCCAGAAGGCACAGUGGGCAGACCCUUGUGUUGGGGACUCAGGGAAGGUCUCAGUGGGGUGCCCGGCUGGAGGGGUCUGGGCCUGGGCCCGCACAGAAGAUCCCCUACUCCUGCCCCAGGACUUGAGGCGUGGGCCUUAUGAAUCAGCAGCUGGGACUGCAGCCAGAGGAAGGAUGCCUCUCUGUCCCUGGCAGGGUAGGGCAGGGCUGGGAGAAAUCUCCCAAUUAUAAAUUUAAGAAAACACAAGUCAAGCAGCUGAGGGCUCCGUUCCUACCACUCAAGCCCCACACCCAGCUCCCCGGGAGCCCAGCUGCUGAGGGCACCUCCAGCAGGUCCGAGACACAGACCAGCCUCCUCUGCAGGGGACGACGGGAAGGGGGGUGCAGCACGGUCACCUGGGAUGGCACCAGCCCCGCUGACUCAAACCCUAGGACUCCAGGGGUUGGCUCACAAGAAGAACUCAACCUGGAGUGCCACCCUAAGAAGAAUAAUUAAUCUACCAGCUGAGCUCCCCAUGGACAAGGCCAGUUGGAUGGUCCUAGAGCCACCAGCCUUCUGGGGCCUGCAGCCCCUCUUGUCUACCAGUAGCCUGCAGAGUCAGCCGUGGGGGCAGUGCCCUCUGCUCCUCUCCAGACUGGCAGGCAGGCCUGGUCGAUUCUGCUGGAGUGGAAAAGGGUGGUGGAAAAGGCAGGGCUGGCUAAGCAGAGGCAAACCAGGGAAGCGUCUGCCCCCAGUAAGGCCUUCCUUCCAGCCCCCACUUCCUCCCUCCAGUGGACACGGCUCCAAGAGAAAAAGAAGACCAGAUGGGUCAGGGGCCAGGACACCCACUCCUGACCCCCAGCUCGCUUAGAGUGCAGUAUCUCCCAGCGCUUCCCAAGGAACGUCUUCAAGAGAAGGGCCCUGCUCUGAGUCAUCUGAAGCAGCAAGGAGACCUUGUAAAAAUAACUCCAAGUAUGAGGCUCCUGUAUUCACAUUAUUCAUGACACAAAGAACAAAAAAGCAGGGCAGGAAGCAGAGGAGGAGAGUGUCGUUCACAUCGGUUUUCUUCACAUGAUAAGCAGCCAGGAGCUCUCUUGCUGAGUCCCACUGCUCUCUCUCUCCUCGGAGCCAUUACAUAAGCUGGAGAGAGGGUCGUCUUUGAAACCUUCUCACUCUCCCACCCACCCCUCAUCACCUGCCACCUCCAAAGCUGGACCUUCCCGGUAGCUGGCCUUGCCAGGACUCAGAGGGACUCAGGCUGUUCCCUCUCCUGGCUGUCGGUCCCGAAAUAGGGAAUUCCACCGAAGCCCCCAGCGCCCCCGCCGAGCACCAGGGGUGGGACUUCUGGCACCGUGACCGUGUGAGGGAGGAUCUCCAGUGGAGGCCGGCGGGGCUGGCCAGAUUCCUGAAGGCACAUGUGGUGGGGCUUCCUUGGAAGACCUUGGAUUUCAAAAUGUUCGGACAUCCGGGCUGUGUGGCCUUGGGAACUGGCCUGGUCAUACUCAGGGCUUCCUGGGCUCCAAGAGGGGAGGUGCCACUGACUCACUUCCACUCAGUUUUCUGGAAGACAUGGUCUUUAGGAGUCACGGAGGCAAGGAUGGGGAUUUUGAGACAAUGAAGAGAGCCUAGUAAGAGGAAACAUCAAGGAAGAAGACAAGAGUAGGGAGAAAAGAGAAAUAAGGGAUCCCGGGUGGGAGGGGACAGGCAGAGGUGUGGCCAUAAAGCUUUUAUUUAGUGCUUAUUAAACACAGCCCUUUAUAGGGAGCCAUCACAGUGGUGAUCCCAACCUCUCAUGGCUUAUAAUUAAGAACAAACUAAUAACUACUUUUAGACAAGUGCACGGACAUGUUAGGAAAUAAAAAUCUCAACCAAGGCCUGGUAAAUAUAAGUCACAGCUAAAGUCAGAACUCUGCCUAAUGCCAGUCAAAGAAGAAAUAUCAGCAAAUCCAUCACUUUGUGCUAUUUACACAAGGAAACGCUUUAUAGUAUGAUUCUACCCUGACUGCAGACUCUUGACCAACACGCAUCUGUGGCACACAACGAGGAGCCAAGCUCACUCAAGGCUUUCAAAUGUCUGCAGUGACGUCAGGGCAGAGACCCUAACAAAUCUCGUGAAAUAAAGUUCAUGCAUCCAAAAAGUGCUGGUUGAGCACCUGUUAUGUGCUAGGCAUUGUUCUGAGUGAUGGGGACACAAUGGUGAACAAAGAAAACAAAAUCCCUACCCCUGUGGAGCUUUCAUUUUAAUAGGGGGAAACAGAAAAUAAACAAUUAAAAUAC
ensembl:lncRNA